rnacentral:lncRNA from 1 species
ACGCAGGUCUUUUCAUAUCUUCAGCAAAUCUAUAGACAUCUACUAUACAUUUCCAAAGCCAUCCCUCUUAACUUCCUUUUCCCCUUCUUUUCAAACUCAUGGUGGAUCUUCUCUUAAUAGUUGCCUGGAUGCCUAUUCCUUAUCCUUUCAAGCUCAUGACGAACCUGCUCUGAAAUGCCAUUCUCCAGGUAAUAACUUGCAUCUUCCUUCAAAGUUUCUUUUGCUAUAAAAUGCGCCAUCAUAUUUUUUGAUCUCGGGAUAUAACAAAAAUCAAUUUCUUGAAAGAGUGAUUUCGCAUCUUGAAUGUCUUUUAUGAUGGCUCCUAUAAUCGACUUAUCCCUUUCUGUACUCUGGCAUUUUUUGAUAGUUGUCUUUGAAUCCCCAAGUAUUUCACAUGAAUUAAUGCCUAAAAAGAUCCCUAAUCUCACUGCUUGUAAUCCUGCAAGCGCCUCCGCUACAAAUGAGGAGGCUACGUUUGAGUGGAGAACAGAUUUUGUUGCUAAAACUUCCCCUCGCAUGUCUCGAACCACCAGCCCUGAAGCAGAUUUAAAAGAGUUUUGCUCAAAAGCCGUAUCAAAGUGGAUGGUUACACGCGUCCUUUGUUCAUUCUGGCUAUGGAUUCUGACUUCUUCACAGAUAAGUAGCUUCUCCUCUAACCCUUUCAGUUCUAAGUUAUAACUUAUUAUCUGUCUUGAAAUAUCUCUGCCAUUUGUGAUUUUACUUUCAUAAAGUAACUGGUUUCUGUUUGACCAGAUGAGCCAUAGUCCGCAACAGAAUAGACGACAUUCCUCAUUUGUUCCCUGAUUAAAGACCCAGAUAAGCCACUCCCAAACAUUCUGAAUACUAUUAUUUAGCAUCCAAUCGAACCUUAACUAUCUCCAAACUUCCUCCGUUGUAGGACACUGUCGAAAAACGUAGAUACUGUCUUAUUCAAUUUGUCUACAUUUGGGACACCAAUCUUCAGUAACCACUCUCUUCAGCUUCAGAUUAGCUAAUGUAGGAAUAUAGUUCCAAGAGAUCUUCCAUACUGUAAUUUUUAUUUUCGAGGGCAUCCGUAAAUUCCAUAGCUUUCUGUAGAAUUUUUUGUUUUCGGCCUGUAUAAAGUAAUUGUUAGGAAUCCGUGUAGAACUCUGUAAUAGUUUAUAGGCGCUUCUAACCGAAAAGGUUCCUGAUGGUUCUCCUCCCCAAACUUGGAAAUCAUCCUGCACUGAACUAGACAAAGGGAUCUGCAUAAUACAUUUUGUAAUAUCCGCACUGAAGGUAUUAACUAGAAUAUCUGCUUUCCAUGAGCUA